UCAUUGCCGGGGACUGUUGCCUUAAUCAUUCUUUGUGAAAUUAUUUCUACAAUUUGGUUUUUAUUUUUUAUUUAUUUAAUUUUUAACUCUACUAAUUAAUUUUUUAUUUUUAUUCUUUAUUUGUGAUUUACUCUUAGGUGUUUUAUGAGCAUAGAUUGAAUCAUUGAUCUAUUACUCGUGGACCCUAAAAUUAAGCAGACUUUUAGACAAAGAAGAUACGAGAGAUUUGCUCGAAGACAAACCGAGAUGGACCUUGGAAAUCAAAA
rnacentral:lncRNA from 1 species